rnacentral:lncRNA from 1 species
GGGGGAUUCACUGUUAUACUUGGAGGCCAUGUCACCUGAGAGUCAAUGGGCAACGAUCAAAUUUCACCUUGAGCAGAUUCUUUUGUUUGCUUUUUAGUCACAAAUAGCUUGGCCCUAAGUGGUGGCUCCCAUUCUUGUAAGAUGCGUUUAUUCAUCGUGUAAUCACCAGUUCCCUGUAGUGGGGGCGUGGAUGGAGUGUCAGAGGCUCCUGCUGGUCUUUAGGGUGUCUGGCCUCCAGGAAUCCUAGAGUAAAUUGGGAACUACAGCACUCGAUGUUAGAGUUGUCGUGAAGAUUAAAGAAGGUGACGACUGGACAACUCCCAGCCCAAUACCUGAAACUGUACCAGCACCCAGUGAGCACUGCUAUUCCUGUGACUGCUGCACAUUUGCCUUAUCUCAGCAGUAUGCCUGUGUCACUUUUUUGGCACUCUUUUCUCAUGGGUACAUUCAGAGAAGAGGAAUGUUUGUUCACUGGUGAAGAGAACAUCCCGUGUACUAUCGUGUAGAAGUUGUAGUAGACGCUGUGGUCUUUCCAACAACAAACAAAAAAAAGGAAAAAAAAAGUGAAUUUCUUGCCCAGAUCUGCAACAACUUCUAAGAUCUGACCUGUAGCCACCCACACCUGGAAGCUCCAGCCUUGCCUCUCCCCAGUUCACCCAGUAAGCGCUGGACACGGGGCUGAGCUGGGACUUCGAUGCUUACUCUGCCUGGAAACCUCCUUUCUCUCUCCCCACUUCUGAGGCUCCGCUCAGGGCUGAGAGCUCCAAGGAGCUGUGAAUCACACCUCCGACUCCCCCCAGGGUACAGGAACGGGGUUCAGAAUGCUCUUCCCAAAGCUGCUGGGACAGGACCCAGGAGGUUCCGGAGGAUCAGGAGGUCCACCUGGGAGAAGAGCUGAUCGGCUAGUAGGAGAGCUGGAAAAGCAACAGACACCUACUUAGUCCCUUCCCUGGGGCCCGGCUCCAGUCUGAGCUGUCACGCCACAGCAAAGGCAUCACUUCAGGACAGCAAAGCCCCUGUCUCCCUCCCUUCCAGCUCCUCAGACUUCACCCUGGUAACACGUUUGUUUAAAAAACAUAUUUUUCCCCCUUGUAAAGAAUCUAGGAUACAAGGGGUCAGCCCAGCAGUUUAGGUAUCAAGAAGAAACUGCUCUCGGAGCUAAAGUAAGAAACAGUGCCUGUCUAUAGCGCAAAUAAAGAGUUGGAACAAGAUAAAA